UACGUAGGGUGCGAGCGUUAAUCGGAAUUACUGGGCGUAAAGGGUGCGCAGGCGGUUCUGCAAGUCAGGCGUGAAAGCCCCGGGCUUAACCUGGGAAUGGCGCUUGAAACUACGGGACUGGAGUAUGGCAGAGGGAGGUGGAAUUCCACGUGUAGCGGUGAAAUGCGUAGAGAUGUGGAGGAACACCGAUGGCGAAGGCAGCCUCCUGGGCCAAUACUGACGCUCAUGCACGAAGCGUGGGGAGCAAACAGG
rnacentral:rRNA from 1 species